rnacentral:rRNA from 1 species
CAGUAGCCGCGGUAAUACGAAGGGUGCAAGCGUUAAUCGGAAUUACUGGGCGUAAAGCGUGCGUAGGCGGUGAGUUAAGUCUGCUGUGAAAUCCCCGGGCUCAACCUGGGAAUGGCAGUGGAUACUGGCUCGCUAGAGUGUGUCAGAGGAUGGUGGAAUUCCCGGUGUAGCGGUGAAAUGCGUAGAGAUCGGGAGGAACAUCAGUGGCGAAGGCGACCACCUGGACUGAUACUGACACUGAGGUGCGAAAGCGUGGGGGAGCAAACAGGAUUAGAUACCCCGGUAGUCCCUGUCUCUUAUA